GGAGAGGUGGCAGAGUGGUUGAAUGCGGUAGAUUCGAAAUCUAUUAUGGGCUUCGGUUCAUCGGGGGUUCGAAUCCCCCCCUCUCCG
rnacentral:tRNA from 1 species